UAGGGAAUCUUCCACAAUGGACGCAAGUCUGAUGGAGCAACGCCGCGUGAGUGAAGAAGGUUUUCGGACCGUAAAGCUCUGUUGUUGGUGAAGAAGGAUAGAGGUAGUAACUGGCCUUUAUUUGACGGUAAUCAACCAGAAAGUCACGGCUAACUACGUGCCAGCAGCCGCGGUAAUACGUAGGUGGCAAGCGUUGUCCGGAUUUAUUGGGCGUAAAGCGAGCGCAGGCGGAAGAAUAAGUCUGAUGUGAAAGCCCUCGGCUUAACCGAGGAAUUGCAUCGGAAACUGUUUUCC
rnacentral:rRNA from 1 species